GAUGAAUGCUGGCGGCGUGCCUAACACAUGCAAGUCGAGCGGCAGCGCGAGUAGUUUACUACUUGGCGGCGAGCGGCGGACGGCUGAGUAACGCGUGGGAACGUGCCCCAAAGUGAGGAAUAACUGCCCGAAAGGGUAGCUAAAUACCGCAUAUGGUCUUCGGAUUAAAGGAUUUAUCCGCUUUGGGAGCGGCCCGCGUCGGAUUAGGUUGUUGGUGAGGUAAUGGCUCACCAAGCCGACGAUCCGUAGCUGGUCUGAGAGGAUGAUCAGCCAGACUGGGACUGAGACACGGCCCAGACUCCUACGGGAGGCAGCAGUGAGGAAUCUUCCACAAUGGGGGGCAACCCUGAUGCAGCGACGCCGCGUGAAGGAAGAAGGCCCUCGGGUUGUAAACUUCUUUUGACCAGGGACGAAGAAAGUGACGGUACCUGGAGAACAAGCCACGGCUAACUACGUG
rnacentral:rRNA from 1 species